rnacentral:rRNA from 1 species
GGGAUAACACUGGGAAACAGGUGCUAAUACCGUAUAACACUAUUUUCCGCAUGGAAGAAAGUUGAAAGGCGCUUUUGCGUCACUGAUGGAUGGACCCGCGGUGCAUUAGCUAGUUGGUGAGGUAACGGCUCACCAAGCCCACGAUGCAUAGCCGACCUGAGAGGGUGAUCGGCCACACUGGGACUGAGACACGGCCCAGACUCCUACGGGAGGCAGCAGUAGGGAAUCUUCGGCAAUGGACGAAAGUCUGACCGAGCAACGCCGCGUGAGUGAAGAAGGUUUUCGGAUCGUAAAACUCUGUUGUUAGAGAAGAACAAGGAUGAGAGUAGAACGUUCAUCCCUUGACGGUAUCUAACCAGAAAGCCACGGCUAACUACGUGCCAGCAGCCGCGGUAAUACGUAGGUGGCAAGCGUUGUCCGGAUUUAUUGGGCGUAAAGCGAGCGCAGGCGGUUUCUUAAGUCUGAUGUGAAAGCCCCCGGCUCAACCGGGGAGGGUCAUUGGAAACUGGGAGACUUGAGUGCAGAAGAGGAGAGUGGAAUUCCAUGUGUAGCGGUGAAAUGCGUAGAUAUAUGGAGGAACACCAGUGGCGAAGGCGGCUCUCUGGUCUGUAACUGACGCUGAGGCUCGAAAGCGUGGGGAGCGAACAGGAUUAGAUACCCUGGUAGUCCACGCCGUAAACGAUGAGUGCUAAGUGUUGGAGGGUUUCCGCCCUUCAGUGCUGCAGCA